UACAGAGGGUGCGAGCGUUUAAUCGGAAUUACUGGGCGUAAAGCGCGCGUAGGCGGCUUUUCAAGUCGAUUGUGAAAUCCCCGGGCUUAACCUGGGAACUGCAGUCGAGACUGUCUAGCUAGAGUAUGGGAGAGGGAAGUGGAAUUUCAGGUGUAGCGGUGAAAUGCGUAGAUAUCUGAAGGAAGGCCAGUGGCGAAGGCGAGUUCCUGGACAGUUACUGACGCUGAGGCACGAAGGCCAGGGGGAGCAAACGGGG
rnacentral:rRNA from 1 species